AGUCCUCAAAGGGUUAAAGUUAAUGAGAUAAUUAAGUGACUAAUUAAAUGAUGAUUGUGUAUUAGUGAUGAACAUCUGCUGUUAACAAUCAACAUCACUGAAGUAAAGAGAAAUACAAGAACUACAACUGAAUUUAGCCACAGCCUUCAACUGAAAAAAAAAAACAGGCCUCAUGUUGUUCUUUUAUUUUUCUUAUCUCGGCGCCGGACAGCUGUUGUCUUUUCCUGGGCAUAGUUGUCCAUCAGUUAUGAUCAUUUGCAGACAGCCACUAACAUUAGAGAUCAACUGGAGCCCCAAAGUGUGUUAUAUGGUUCUGUGAGGGCAUCCGUUGUUCGGUUCAUAGCAGCAGGACAGGAAGAAGCCGCUUCAUCUUUAAACUAAAUGCACAUCAAACAAAUGGCCACUCGUAUGCAGAAGAUGUCUGGCCCCCUCAACAGCUCAAAGCUUGUUUCUGAAGAAAACCAACCACAGCAGGUUUCAGUUUGACUCAGAAAAUGAGCUGCUAGUGUCACACCUCAGACUGAUGAUACUAUUGCAACAACUGAAUGAUCAUAAAACCAUUUAAAACUAUUUAUUUCUUCAUUAAAUUCAGUUUGACUAUUAAUCCUAUGCAAAAUAUUUUUUUCUCUUCCAGGCCUACAUAUUUUUAAAAAGUCAAACCAUUAAUGUUAAAUGAUAAAAACGUUUUAAAUUUGUAUAAAGACUUUUUGAUAAAGCAUAUCCCAACAUUAAUCAUUAAAAUUAACUUAAAUGUUUUUGGCCUAUAUUAUAUGUAACCAUGCACUGAUUGAUUAAUUUACAUUGUGUGUGUGUUUGUGUGUGUGCGUGAUAUUGUGUGUCUGACUCGGAAGGUCAGAAUCUGUCGGAAGAGGUUUCAAA